UACGUAGGGAGCAAGCGUUGUCCGGAAUCAUUGGGCGUAAAGCGCGCGUAGGUGGCCCUGUAAGUCCGUUGUGAAAGUCAAAGGCUCAACCUUUGAAAGCCGAUGGAUACUGCAGGACUAGAGUACGGAAGAGGCGAGUGGAAUUCCUGGUGUAGCGGUGGAAUGCGCAGAUAUCAGGAGGAACACCAAUAGCGAAGGCAGCUCGCUGGGACGUUACUGACACUGAGGCGCGAAAGCGUGGGGAGCGAACGGG
rnacentral:rRNA from 1 species